UGCACUUUGAGAGGGCCUGGAUU
rnacentral:piRNA from 1 species